rnacentral:lncRNA from 1 species
UCAGAACAUAACAGAUUGUACACCAGCAGUAUAAAAACACACAACUACAAGUUACUUAAGAACAUAACAUAAUGUACAUAAGCAGUAUAAAACUACAAGUUACUUCAGAACAUAACAGAUUGUACACCAGCAGUAUAAAACACACAUCUGCCAGUUACUUCAGAACAUAACAGAUUGUACACCAGCAGUAUAAAACACACAACUACAAGUUACUUUAGAACAUAACAGAUUGUACACUAGCAGUAUAAAACACACAACUACAAGUUACUGAAGAACAUAACAGAUUGCACAUCAGCAGUAUAAAACAUACAACAAGUUACUUCAAAUCAUAACAAAUUGUACGUUACCAGAAUAAAAUACACAACUUUAAGUUACUUUAGAACAUAAAGGAUUGUACACCAGCAGUAUAAAACACACAACUGCGAGUUACUUCAGAACAUAACAGAUUAUACAUCAAUAGUAUAAAACACACAUCUGCAAGUAACUUCAUAAGAACAUAACAUAUUGUACACCAGCAGUAUAAAACACACAUAACUACAUGUUACUUCAGAACAUAACAGAUUGUACAUCAGCAGUAUAAAACACAACUGCAAGUUACUUCAGAACAUAACAGAUUGUACACCAGCAGUAUAAAACACACAACUACAAGUUACUUCAGAACAUAACAGAUUGUACAUAAGCAGUAUAAAACAAACAAAGUUCUACAAAUUACUUCAGAACAGAACAAAUUGUACACAAGCAAUAUAAAACACACAACUACAAGUUACUUCAGAACAUAACAAAUUGUACAUAAGCAGUAAAAAAACACACAACUACAAGUUACUUCAGAACAGAACAAAUUGUACAUAAGAAAUAUAAAACACACAACCACAAGUUACUUCAGAACAUAACAAAUUGUACACCAACAGUAUAAAACACACAACUACAAAUUACUUUAGAACAUAACAGAUUGUACACCAGCAGUAUAAAACACACAACUACAAGUUACUUCAGAACAUAACAAAUUGUACAUAAGCAGUAAAAAACACACAACUACAAAUUACCUCAGAAC